UACAGAGGGUGCAAGCGUUAAUCGGAAUUACUGGGCGUAAAGAGUGCGUAGGUGGAUAAUUAAGUCAUAUGUGAAAUCCCCGGGCUUAACCUGGGAAUUGCGUCUGAAACUGGUUGUCUAGAGUAUGGUAGAGGAUAGUGGAAUUUCUGGUGUAGCGGUGAAAUGCGUAGAUAUCAGAAGGAACACCAGUGGCGAAGGCGACUGUCUGGGCCAAAUACUGACACUGAGGUACGAAAAGCGUGGGUAGCGAACAGG
rnacentral:rRNA from 1 species